rnacentral:RNase_P_RNA from 2 species
CAAAGCAGCCCAGACGAUCGCGGAAUCCAUAUCGGAUUUCGAGGAAAGUCCGAACACCGCAGGGCAGGGUGCUCCAUAACAUGGAGUCGCGGCAACGUGAAGGAAAGUGCAACAGAAAGAAUACCGCCCUGAUGCCGAUAUCUCCAAACCAUGUGAACAUUUCGCCUGGUCCCGGAAAAGCCGGUAGACAGGGUAAGGGUGAAACGGUGCGGUAAGAGCGCACCAGUUCUCCGGGUGAUCGGAGAAGCUAUGUAAACCCCACCCGGUGCAAGACCAAAUAGGGGAGUGAUUAAGGGCUGCCCGUCCGAGCUCCCGGGUAGGUCGCAAGAGGCGUCGGGCAAUCGGCGUCCCAGAUGAAUGAUCGUUACCCGGUUUAUAAGGGUAACCUUGACCGGGCACAGAAUUCGGCUUAUUGGCUGCUUUGGCCG